rnacentral:rRNA from 1 species
UGGGGAAUUUUGGACAAUGGGGGCAACCCUGAUCCAGCCAUUCCGCGUGAGUGAAGAAGGCCUUCGGGUUGUAAAGCUCUUUCGGCAGGAACGAAACGGUGGUCCCUAAUACGGGCUACUAAUGACGGUACCUGAAGAAGAAGCACCGGCUAACUACGUGCCAGCAGCCGCGGUAAUACGUAGGGUGCGAGCGUUAAUCGGAAUUACUGGGCGUAAAGCGUGCGCAGGCGGUUCCAUAAGACAGAUGUGAAAUCCCCGGGCUUAACCUGGGAACUGCGUUUGUGACUGUGGGACUGGAGUGUGGCAGAGGGGGGUGGAAUUCCACGUGUAGCAGUGAAAUGCGUAGAGAUGUGGAGGAACACCGAUGGCGAAGGCAGCCCCCUGGGUCAACACUGACGCUCAUGCACGAAAGCGUGGGGAGCAAACA